rnacentral:rRNA from 1 species
GACGAACGCUGGCGGCGUGCUUAACACAUGCAAGUCGAACGGAAAGGCGCUGCUUUUGUGGGGUGCUCGAGUGGCGAACGGGUGAGUAACACGUGAGUAACCUGCCCUUAAGUCUGGGAUAACUUCAGGAAACUGGGGCUAAUACCGGAUAGGAGCUACUGCUGCAUGGCGGGGGAUGGAAAGUUUCGGCGGUUGGGGAUGGACUCGAGGCUUACGAGCUUGUUGGGGGGGUAGGGGAUUACCAAGGCUUUGACGGGGAGCCGGCCUGGGAGGGUGACCGGCCCCAGUGGGCCUGGGGUACCGCCCAGACUCCUACGGGCGGCAGCAGUGGGAAAUAUUGCGCAAUGGGCGGAAGCCUGAUGCAGCAACGCCGCGUGCUGGAUGACGGCCUUCGGGUUGUAAACCGUUUUCGCCUGUGACGAAGCGUGAGUGACGGUAACUGGUAAAAAAGCCCCGGCUAACUACGUG